UGGCUCUGGCAUNGAUGAAGAACGCAGCGAAAUGCGAUAAGUAAUGUGAAUUGCAGAAUUUAGUGAAUCAUCGAAUCUUUGAACGCACAUUGCGCCCCCUGGUAUUCCGGGGGGCAUGCCUGUUCGAGCGUCAUUACAGCCCUCAAGCUCUGCUUGGCCUUGGGCGUCACCGGUCUCGGUGUGCCUUAAAAUCAGUGGCGGUGCUGCCCGGCUCCGAGCGUAGUACAUGCUCUCGCUAUGGAUGCUGGGUGGAGGCUUGCCAGAACCUGAAAUUUAUCCAGGUUGACCUCGGAUCAGGUAGGGAUACCCGCUGA
rnacentral:misc_RNA from 1 species